rnacentral:rRNA from 1 species
GAGUUUGUAUCAUGGCUCAGGAUGAACGCUAGCUACAGGCUUAACACAUGCAAGUCGAGGGGAAACGACAUCGAAAGCUUGCUUUUGAUGGGCGUCGACCGGCGCACGGGUGAGUAACGCGUAUCCAACCUGCCCAUCACUUGGGGGAUAACCUUGCGAAAGUAAGACUAAUACCCAAUGACGUCUCUAGAAGACAUACUGGAAAGAGAUUAAAGAUUUAUCGGUGAUGGAUGGGGAUGCGUCUGAUUAGCUUGUUGGCGGGGUAACGGCCACCAAGGCGACGAUCAGUAGGGGUUCUGAGAGGAAGGUCCCCCACAUUGGAACCUGAGACACGGUCCAAACUCCUACGGGAGCA